rnacentral:lncRNA from 1 species
UUGCAACCCCAGCCCACCGAUCAUUUGGAGGUCACAAAAUCGAGCCUCAAACAUGGUAUAUUCAUUCUAUCUCUCAAAUACCCAAACUGAUAUAGGAAGCUCCCCUCUCUACAUCGUCUUGCCCUCUCAAAACACUACAACGUCUCUCUGUUUAGCCCCUUUUGCAGUCUAGCAUACCAUAAAUUCUCUCUCGAAAGCCCACAUAUCCGAAGCCUUGUUGCCCUGUUGCAACCCUAACCCACCGAUCAUUUGGAGGUC